AGUGAACGCUGGCGGUAGGCCUAACACAUGCAAGUCGAACGGCAGCACAGUAAGAGCUUGCUCUUACGGGUGGCGAGUGGCGGACGGGUGAGGAAUACAUCGGAAUCUACUUUUUCGUGGGGGAUAACGUAGGGAAACUUACGCUAAUACCGCAUACGACCUACGGGUGAAAGUAGGGGAUCUUCGGACCUUGCGCGAUUGAAUGAGCCGAUGUCGGAUUAGCUAGUUGGCGGGGUAAAGGCCCACCAAGGCGACGAACCGUAGCUGGUCUGAGAGGAUGAUCAGCCACACUGGAACUGAGACACGGUCCAGACUCCUACGGGAGGCAGCAGUGGGGAAUAUUGGACAAUGGGCGCAAGCCUGAUCCAGCCAUACCGCGUGGGUGAAGAAGGCCUUCGGGUUGUAAAGCCCUUUUGUUGGGAAAGAAAAGCAGCAGGUUAAUACCCCGCUGUUCUGACGGUACCCAAAGAAUAAGCACCGGCUAACUUCGUG
rnacentral:rRNA from 1 species